rnacentral:lncRNA from 1 species
CAAUCACUUUUUAUUUUCAAUAAUCAUACUGCCUUUGCCAGGGGACAUUGGCUCAGUUAUUUGCACAUGAGCACAAACCCACACAACUGCUCCCUCUGAUGCAGUGACAUUUUGGCUCUGCUGUUGGCUCCAGGACUUUUACAUUAAAAUAACAACUCAGACUGCUCAAAUCACCCAAUUGCAAAUGCACUUUGAUCAAACAAUGACUCAAGGAGACUCAGAGAUUACUUCUGGAGGGAACGACACGACAAAUUGAUCCGUGCUGUCACUGCUUCAGCUUUGUACUUCUUGGGAAGGAAAUGUAGCUCCAAUGGCACUGAGGAGUUGGAGAGGGUCUCCGGAGGCAAAACCCUUCCAUCAUCAAGCAGCAAGAGGCCCUGCUAG